CUAGUUGACUUGCAGGCAAGUGACGAGUGACGAGUGCCAGGGCCUUCCAGCCAGACAGAGCUAGGUUAGAGGUGGUGGCCCACAAGGUGAUGAACUCUACCUACCACUGAGAAAGUCACCUAAAGGUGUGAAUGUCCACCACCCGUACACAAGUCUUGCACUCCACGUAGCAACACCAGUGGAACUUGCAGUGACACCUCUCCCUAAGUGUCACCUUCUGGGAGUUGUAGCCACGGCCGCAGCACAGCAGGUCACACCCGUCCAUGCCCUCUGAGGUUUUGUUGCAAAUACGGUCCUGGGUUCCUGGAAGACAAAAUGCUGUAUUCUAAUCUGAAACAGUCAUUUAAAACACAGUGGUGUCAAUGUGGUGAUGCAUCAAAGAUGAAUUGUGUGAGUGAUGCAGUGACAAGCAUAGCAUGUCAUGACCCUACUGCUUAAGGAAACCAGUGAUAGUGUGGAUUGUCCGUUUCUCAAAGGAAAGAUUAAGAUAAUUAGCUGAGGAGUUUAUAAGAAGAUAAAAUGAGCAAAUGGAGUGAAGUGAAGUGAGACUACCCUCAAACACUACAGGUGUGAAUGUUUCAAGCCUGCUCCUCAAACUGGCAGUUAAUGUUCCAGGCAGGGAGUAUAUCUGGAACAUUAUGAGGGUCAUAUCCUGUUCUCCUCCUGCUCUUUGCUUAAUUUGCUACAGAGAGGUCCAUGUAAAAUUAACAGUGGCAAAUAUCAAAAGUGAACAUAACAGAGAUGGGAGGGAUUAACACAGUCGUCAGUCACCAUCAAGCCCUGAGAGCCACUGACAGUGUUAUGAGUGGCUGGUCCUACAUGUCAACAGUCAAAAGAGAUUUACAAGUGAAAUCUAUGACAGCCUGUGCAUAGAACUGCUGAGCCUCCCAUCUCUGCAGCAUGUAUGACUGACUGACACCCACAAAACCAUAAGAAAACAAGA